CAAAGACAAGAAGGCAGGGGGGAAACUGAUCACUGUGGCUGAUGUUGUGAAGGAACACUGGGCAACUUAUGGAUUCUUUUCUAGAUAUGACUGAGGAAUGUGAAUCUGAAGGUGCCAAUAAAAUGGUAGCAUAUCUACGAGAGACUGCAUCAAAGAGCAAGAUUGGCGAUAAGUUCUAAUGAUAAUUUUGAUAGUUCUAAUGAUCUCCUAAGUUCUAACGGUGAACUUAUUUUGUCCUAAUUCAAUUAUUAGUUUUGUUAAAGUAUUGUAAUUUUUUAAUUACAAUUUUAGCAUGUAAAUAAUUCAUGUAAAUCAAUAAAAAAUCAAUUUUUUAUACA